rnacentral:tRNA from 1 species
GGAUCCAUGGAGCAAUGGUAGUGCGUCUGACUCCAUAUCAGAAGGUUGCGUGUUUGAUUCACGCCGGGUUCA